rnacentral:rRNA from 1 species
UACGUAGGGUGCGAGCGUUAAUCGGAAUUACUGGGCGUAAAGCGCGCGCAGGCGGUUCGUUAAGUUCGAUGUGAAAGCCCCGGGCUCAACCUUGGAACUGCAUUGGAAACUGGCGGGCUUGAGUGUGGCAGAGGGGGGUGGAAUUCCACGUGUAGCAGUGAAAUGCGUAGAGAUGUGGAGGAACACCGAUGGCGAAGGCAGCCCCCUGGGCUAACACUGACGCUCAGGCACGAAAGCGUGGGGAGCAAACAGG